UACGGAGGGGGCGAGCGUUAUUCGGAAUUAUUGGGCGUAAAGGGCGCGUAGGCGGCUCGAUAAGUCAAAGGUGAAAUCCCUCGGCUCAACUGAGGAACUGCCUUUGAAACUGUAGAGCUUGAGUCCGGGAGGGGGUAGCGGAAUUCCCAGUGUAGCGGUGAAAUGCGUAGAUAUUGGGAGGAACACCAGUGGCGAAGGCGGCUACCUGGACCGGCAUUGACGCUGAGGCGCGAAAGCCAGGGGAGCAAACGGG
rnacentral:rRNA from 1 species